CGCGGGAUUGAUGGAUUCUGAGACACGAAUCCAGGCCCUACGGGGUGCAGCAGGCGCGAAAACUUUACAAUGCUGGCAACAGCGAUAAGGGGACCUCGAGUGCCAGGUUACAAAUCUGGCUGUCGUGAUGCCUAAAAAGCAUUGCAUAGCAAGGGCCGGGCAAGACCGGUGCCAGCCGCCGCGGUAACACCGGCGGCUCGAGUGGUAACCGUUAUUAUUGGGUCUAAAGGGUCUGUAGCCGGCCGGAUAAGUCUCUUGGGAAAUCUGGCAGCUUAACUGUCAGGCUUUCAGGAGAUACUGUCUGGCUCGAGGCCGGGAGAGGUGAGAGGUACUUCAGGGGUAGGGGUGAAAUCUUGUAAUCCUUGAAGGACCACCAGUGGCGAAGGCGUCUCACCAGAACGGACCUGACGGCAAGGGACGAAAGCUAGGGGCACGAACCGGAUUAGAUACCCGGGUAGUCCUAGCCGUAAACGAUACUCGCUAGGUGUCGGCCACGGUGCGACCGUUGUCGGUGCCGUAGGGAAGCCGUGAAGCGAGCCACCUGGGAAGUACGGCCGCAAGGCUGAAACUUAAAGGAAUUGGCGGGGGAG
rnacentral:rRNA from 1 species